AAAAAAAAAAAAGGUUUUUGCAUCUACUUUCAGAGGGUUCAGGUACCUCUCACCACCAGUUCAUUAACAGAACUGUAAAUUUAAUAUUGUCAGACUACAUCAUUGCUAAUGUUCCAGGGUCUGAAGCGGUGAGUACUGUCAUCUGGGGGGCACUAAACAGGUGGGAGGGGGGAAGAAAGGACCCUGCAGAGGGAAGAAUCACCCAACCUGAUGCUCCAAAGUGGAGGCCGAGCUGCAGCUUUUCUCCCCUGCGUUCCAACUCCUGCCAUGCCAUGCCCAGCAAUUCCCUGCCAUCUUUGCUGGUUAGCUGAGGACCAGACUGGAGGAAGUAUUGUGAAUGAAAGGGUUAGUUCAGGUCCAGCAGACAACACAAGGCAAACUAUGGGGUUGGUUUGUUACCAGCCCCACCCUUGAGGCAUUCUGCUGACAGCAGUCAGGAGUUCCCCUCCAUGCCUGGGUGGCCACCUCUCUUCCCCACCUCUGUGAUGGCUCCCCCCUGCAGUGGGUCAGACUUAAAGAGGCCUGCAGGGCUAGACAGUGGUCUUUCAUAGCAUUCCACUUGAGGGAGUCCAGAGGACAGAAGGCAGCAUAGUGGGGCUCUCACCUGCCCCCCACUCCCCAGCUCAGGUACCCUGGCCUGGAGGCUCUUUUGGGAAGGAACCAACAGUGCUGGCCUUUCCUAGAAGCAGAUGCAGGAAAAAUGCUGUGCGGAUGCCUUAUACCAGUCGAUCUUAACAAGAACUGGGCUACCUCGUCCACUGGCUAGACCCUGCAAGGAGUCUUUGGGCUUGUGUGCCUGGCUCUAACCAGGUCCUGGAACAAUAGGACCACAGGAUGGUGCAAGACUUGUCUUGGAAAAAAACACACACGUGCAAGGUGGAGGAAUGUGGCGGCAUAGAAGCUGUUCACCACGGGGAUGACCUUCUGCUGCCGAUUACACUCUCUGCAGGAAGAAGGAUGGGCGUGUUGAUGGAAUGGAGUGAUGGAAACUGCUUGGAAAACUAUACAAAUUGUUGUCUAGUCUUCAAACUUUUCUUUUGAGCUAUUGACAGCUUUUAACAAUUUAGUAUACUCCUAUGACCAAAAUUUGGAACAUAAUUGUUUCUCUCUAUCUAAUUUCUCCAGGAUUUGGAAACUAUUUCCCUGCAAACUGAAGCCAGACAACUUCAGAAGAAAAUAACAGCAACCUAUUUACAUACAUAAGCCACAUUCAUACCUGCCUACUGAUCUAGACUUCAGAGUAAUGUGGCCUAUAUUGAUUUUCCAGGAUUGUUCCUUUGUUUGUUGUUUUCUCCCUUUCUCCCCGUAUUUUCUCUUCACAGGACAUGAGACUUCAUAACCUUCCAAAAAUGAACUUUCCUAAUAACUCAGAACCUACCCGUCUACGAAUAAACCAUCCUAGCUAUAAGAGAUCAGAUGAAACCUAAGACCAGAGAUUCAUUUUCUUCUAAAAUGCUUUCUCCAAAAGAUUUCAAAAAAGAAAAGGGGGAAAAUGUGAAAGGAAAAUAUCUUGGGCCUCCAAA